rnacentral:rRNA from 1 species
AUUGAACGCUGGCGGCAGGCCUAACACAUGCAAGUCGAACGAGUGGCGGACGGGUGAGUAAUGUCUGGGAAACUGCCUGAUGGAGGGGGAUAACUACUGGAAACGGUAGCUAAUACCGCAUACCAUCAGAUGUGCCCAGAUGGGGUUAGCUUGUUGGUGGGGUAACGGCUCACCAAGGCGACGAUCCCUAGCUGGUCUGAGAGGAUGGCAAGCCACCUUGGAGAGGAGACACGGUCCAGAGUCCUACGGGAGGCAGCAGGGGGUAAUAUUGGACAAUGGGAGCAAGCCUGAUGCAGCCAUGCCGCGUGUAUGAAGAAGGCGUUCGGGUUGUAAAGUACUUUCAGCGGGGAGGCGUUACCCGCAGAAGAAGCACCGGCUAACUCCGUGCCAGCAGCCGCGGUAAUUC